rnacentral:lncRNA from 1 species
UAUUUUCCCCACACAGAGCCAGAUGUGAUCAAGAAACUCAGAGUGACUGAUGUCACAAAAUCUUCUGUGUAUCUGACAUGGAAUGAACCAGCUGGAAAUAGAGAUUUUUUUAGAAUUCAAUGGAGUGAGAAAAGGAAGUAUGUAACAACUAAUAACACUUCAUAUCACAUCACUGAUCUGACUGCUGGAGUCAAUUACACAUUCUGCAUCACUGCUGUGGCAGCAGAUCAAUCAACAGAAGGAGAAACUGUCUGCAUCUCACAAUUUACCAAUUCCCCUGAGUCUAACAUUCCACUGAUUGUUGGCGUAGUGUUGGCAGUGAUCUGUUUUCUCUUCAUCAUUACUCUCAUUCUCUUCUUCUAUUCAAGAAGACAAACCAAAAAACAAUGUCCCGACAUCCCUGUACACACC